rnacentral:rRNA from 1 species
UGGCGGCUGUAGCGCGGUGGUCCCACCUGACCCCAUGCCGAACUCAGAAGUGAAACGCCGUAGCGCCGAUGGUAGUGUGGGGUCUCCCCAUGUGAGAGUAGGGAACUGCC